rnacentral:lncRNA from 1 species
GGAGCUGACUGUUGAUGGCAGGAGCUGACAGAGGCACUGGCACAGAAAUACUCUACUGAGGCUGGAGAGAGGUCACUGCACUAGCUCCCUGCAAGGCAGGACAUGCCAGAGGAUUGAGAGGGACUCGAGCAGCUACUCAGUGUCUGCCCUUUUCCAUACAUGGUGCCUUUUAUUAACUCCUUGAAAACAGCUGCAUUGAACGCUGCUGUUUUGUGUUAACUUCUGAAGAGCUGUGAGGCUCCUAAGCAGAGCCUGCCUAGAAAAGGAAACAGCAGAAGGAGACUGGUGUGCCAUCUCCUGAAAUAUGAGUAGAAAAAAAGCAUCAAGGAAAAGAUCAUGGAAGUACUUAAGAAUUUCAGAAGUUACUACCCUUGGAAGAGAAAGAAAAACUUCAGAGAGACACUUCCAGAUACCAGAAGAAAGGGCAGUACCCCUCCUUUGCAGGGAGCCCCUCAGGGAGCAUUCUGCACAGUCAGAGGAGGGAAGAAAUGCUCUUCUCUGUGCUUCAGCCCAUAGCCUUAUCUUUUUGAUGACUACAGUGUAAUAUGAACAUACAUCCCUCCUGCUCAAGCUGAGCUCCAAAGAGAGGUGCCUGCUAGGAAGUACAGUUGAGUUCAUAUUUGAUUAAAAGAACACUAGCAACAUUAAUAACUGGUACACCUGUGCUGGAAUUGGCAAUUAAACUCAGUCUCCUCCUGUGAAUUUUAGUCAUUAAAGGAACUUGCCAAAGGCUGGGACUUGGGUAUCACUUAGUCUCCCAAACAGGACUGGAUGAGGGACUAGUCAUCUUCAUAAUGGGUCCUGCCAAGAACCUUGCAUCAUGCUUGAGGAAUGGGCAUGUCAGUGAGCUCGCUGGGGUGGCUGCAGAGACUGCUUGCACAGCCACCACUCUGCUGAUUCAGGGGUCUUGCAUGUGCUCCUGGAAGGUGCCAGACAGGCAUCCCUCAACAACCUGCCCCCUAACACGUCUCGUCACAGUCUCAACACAUAGUUCAUCAUGAUCAGGAGCACUAAGCAGCUGCCUCUUUGCUCCAUUGUCUGCUUCUACUUCCCAUACGCCUUGUGCAGCCUCAGAGGUUAAUAACUUUUGAAUAUUGCAGAUCUGGGAUGGGUUUCAAUGGCUGAUCCAGAGGCAAGAGGGUGAUCAUCUUGAUCAUCCAUUUUCCCUCUACCAGUUACUAUUAUUGCUAACUGCUGUUCCACACACAUUGUAAUUAAGUGGAAAAAAUACAGACCAAAUGAAAAAGGGUACAAGCCUCUCAAAAACAUCUCUGCUUUAGCUGCAGCCUGACUCAGCCUUCAAUUAACAUUCUUACUUAAAAUAGUUUUGUUA